CGUGAUGGGACUGAAUCCCAAGCAGAUGCAGAUAUCAAUGUUAUUAAUGCUGACACCUUCCCUCUUCCACCCCAAAUACAUGACACAAUAUGUGACAAGCACUUAGGACAGAAAGGAAAAUGCGGGUGACAGAAAGCCAGAAAGCUCUUCUGAAAUACUACAUGGAGUUGGCUGUCUGCUGAAUUCAUACAGAGUUAUGGCACCUCAGGUGCCAUGAUUUUUUCCAGACUGCUACAAACAAAAUAAAAGCCACCAAAUGAGAAAAAGAAUAAAACACGGCUAGAGCUAAAGCACAAGCAACAACAGAAAUAACAGUUGAUGUUUAAAAAAAGAGCAAAAAGAGCUCUGCAGACCUCAGUUCUCCUGAUAAAUUCUAGCUCAUCAAAUCUAGGCAUGACCCGGUUUUGACACCAUUAACAUAUUUCCCCAUUCUAAAGUUUGAAAGGACGAUGAGAGGCCGAGGCCAGCCCUAAACUCUUGCCAGGAUAUUAGAAUAUCAUCAUGCUAUCAAAAAGCCACUUAGGAACCUCUGAGCUUCCCUGUCCCUUGUCACCCAGCCCCACAGGCGGGUAAGUGAAAAGGAAUAUGAACACACCAAAUACUCAAUAUUUGUGUUUCUGUGUGAAGGCAAGUUUUCUCCAGUGGCAGGGAGAGGGGCAAAUACUCAUUUAGAAAUAAAUUCCAAAGUACUCUGUUCUUCCAGAAAAGAUCUGCCCUCAAGAGGAACGAAGAGCCUAACUGGGGAUUUCCCAAAGAGUAAGCAAUACAGGUGAGGGAAAAUACUCAACUCCAGGGCUCUCACCUUCCUGUCUCACCUGGGAGUCAAUUCAGACUAACCCCUAGCCAGAUAAAUAUAAAAACCUCACACUCAUGUCCUAUUUACCUCAGUUCCUUUACCAGCACAUAACAUUUGC